UACGAAGGGGGCUAGCGUUGCUCGGAAUCCCUGGGCGUAAAGCGCACGUAGGCGGAUCUUUAAGUCAGGGGUGAAAUCCUGGAGCUCAACUCCAGAACUGCCUUUGAUACUGGGGAUCUCGAGUCCGGAAGAGGUGAGUGGAACUCCGAGUGUAGAGGUGAAAUUCGUAGAUAUUCGGAAGAACACCAGUGGCGAAGGCGGCUCACUGGUCCGGUACUGACGCUGAGGUGCGAAAGCGUGGGGAGCAAACAGG
rnacentral:rRNA from 1 species